GACGAACGCUGGCGGCGUGCCUAAUACAUGCAAGUAGAACGCUGAAGGAGGAGCUUGCUCUUCUGGAUGAGUUGCGAACGGGUGAGUAGCGCGUAGGUAACCUGCCUGGUAGCGGGGGAUAACUAUUGGAAACGAUAGCUAAUACCGCAUAAUAGUAGAUGUUGCAUGACAUUUACUUGAAAGGUGCAAUUGCAUCACUACCAGAUGGACCUGCGUUGUAUUAGCUAGUUGGUGGGGUAACGGCUCACCAAGGCGACGAUACAUAGCCGACCUGAGAGGGUGAUCGGCCACACUGGGACUGAGACACGGCCCAGACUCCUACGGGAGGCAGCAGUAGGGAAUCUUCGGCAAUGGACGGAAGUCUGACCGAGCAACGCCGCGUGAGUGAAGAAGGUUUUCGGAUUGUAAAGCUCUGUUGUAAGAAAAGAACGAGUGUGAGAGUGGAAAGUUCACACUGUGAC
rnacentral:rRNA from 1 species